AGGGCGUUCGGAGGCGAUGAACCGUGGAACCCAAGAUGGGCGCCAAGGGACACGGGGAGCCAGUGGCGCAACCGGCCGAACGUCGA
rnacentral:ncRNA from 2 species